CCUACGGGAGGCAGCAGUGAGGAAUAUUGGUCAAUGGGCGCGAGACUGAACCAGCCAAGUCGCGUGAGGGAUGACGGUCCUACGGAUUGUAAACCUCUUUUGCCGGGGAGCAAGCGUGCGUUCGUGAAACCGCGUCGAGAGUACCCGGAGAAAAAGCAUCGGCUAACUCCGUGCCAGCAGCCGCGGUAAUACGGAGGAUGCGAGCGUUAUCCGGAUUUAUUGGGUUUAAAGGGUGCGUAGGCGGGAUGCCAAGUCAGCGGUAAAAUUGAGAGGAUCAACCUCUUCGAGCCGUUGAAACUGGUUGUCUUGAGUGAGCGAGAAGUAUGCGGAAUGCGUGGUGUAGCGGUGAAAUGCAUAGAUAUCACGCAGAACUCCGAUUGCGAAGGCAGCAUACCGGCGCUCAACUGACGCUCAUGCACGAAAGUGUGGGUAUCGAACAGGAUUAGAUACCCUUGUAGUC
rnacentral:rRNA from 1 species